GUCUCGCCAGAUUCCUUACAUGAAUAYAAUGCCAAAAAAGAUACAACACUGUUUCUGUGUGGUCAUUACAAAAGGUACAAUUUGGAUUUGUUUUUUAAAAACUUCUUCAUAUAGUGGUUGGCAGGAUAAUAUUUAUGAAUCAUUUUUAUAAGAAACUUCCUUAAUAAGUAAGUAUGUAUGUGGCCAGUCUACUACGGUACACAAGCAUUUCCACUGUUAUUGUUGCAUGUACUGAUUUGACAGAGGGACCAGUUGAAAGCUACCAUGGCCGUAAUUAUUUCAGAAGCAGCAGUCUUUUUUGGAUAACAACAGUGACGCUUUCGAUGGGAAUCUUCACAGUAGGCAGCAGCUUACCACCCUGUAUCCCACGGCUGGCUUGCCUCUAUAGCUAAGCAGGGUUGGUCCCUGGAUGGGAGACCAGAUGCUGCGGGAAGUGGUGUUGGAGGGUCAGCAUGACAAAGGGGAUGGACGGCACAAGGACUAGUUUGCCUCUAUUUUGUUCAGACAGUGCUGUUUGGCUUUGCCUCUCGGCCUGCUUCUCAAAUACAAACCUGCCCACAGGCCCAAACAACACUGACUCCACCAGGAAGACCCUGCUGCAGAACAGAGUCUAUAGUCUUUAUAGACUACACCACCACUUCCUCAGCAAAUAAUGAGUAGUCAUGGCAUGCUGUGAACUUUUAUCUGCUAACUUUUUUAUAUACACACCUAACAUUACUCGGAAAAUAAAUAAUCUUCUUUGACCCAGAACAUAUUUUAGGACAAAAUGCAAUGCACUGUUUAAACAGAGAUUAUCACAACGUUCAAAAUAUUGUCUUGUUUUAUAUCAUGAUGGAAAAGUAUGAAGUUUUCCUACAAAAUGUUUUCUAAUCAUAACGCUAGAGCAUUUUCCAAUUUUAAGUUCAGAUCACCCAUUUUAAUCACCGUUUACAUUACUCUCUUGUUUUAUGAAAAAGGACUACAGAUGUUUCAUACAGAUGUUUCUUAACUUGCCUUAUAUUACAUUAGAUGAAUCAAUUUGCCUUUAAGCAUGGACAAGCUUAGGAUUUAUCCACAAAUCGAGUCUAUUAAUAUAGAUAUGGGAUAAGAUGAGAGUUGAAGAGUGAAGUUCUCAUUUAUAACACGUGACAAAUAAAAGAGUGAUUGAUGAACAAACGUGGCUCUUUACAGCUACUUCGUUUUUUCCCACCUCUGUCUGUUAUACUGUCUUCUCGUGUGCUUGGACAGCUCUGAUGAGGACAUAACAUCAUCAUGGCCCAUGAUUGGUGACUGCAUUGGCAUUAUGACUAUGUUCAGAAUUGUAUGUAUUGAUCAGACAUGUAUUUGAGCAUUUAAAAAUAGGCCAGCAUAGCCAAAAUAUUGAGAAAUAACAGUGAAACAUUUGACAUAAAAAAAAAWUAUUAGAGCAGUAAGCCUAAUAUAGGCACCUGGCCCGGCCUACAGUAUGCAGGACUCCAUUGAUUCGUACAAUUUGUCAAACUAAUUUCCCAUCCAAAUGAAAAAAUAUAUAUACAAAGUAACAAAAUGUGACAUAUCACGUGAAUUACUUAAGCUUUAGGAAAUGCAACCAACUAGAGAUUUAUGGGGAGGGGAGUGGGAGAGGAACCCAUGUACCCCACUUCAAUCAAGCAGGCUUCAGUCACCCACUUUUGCUUCAGUCAUCCCCAUUGCCUGUAAUGUUUUUGAAAAGGGAAGUGUUUGUUAAAUGGGUAGUGAAUAUAAUUUCCUUUUAUUUACUGUUCUGAGUUAUGAUGUUAUCAAUUCGUUGAUGUUGUGAUCUACUCAUUCUACGCAAAGUUUUGGUGUUUUUGAAGUACUCAAUUUGAAAUAUGCAAUAUUUGGUUGUGCACUUUUUUGUGAAAAUUAUCAUUGUUUGUAUUUGGAAGUUGUGUGCCUGAAAUGCUCAAUUG